GUUUUCCUUACGGGGGAGGAGCAGUGGGGAAUAUUGGGCAAUGGGGGCAACCCUGACCCAGCAACGCCGUGUGAGGGAAGAAGGUUUUCGGAUCGUAAACCUCUGUCAGGAGGGAAGAACGGGCUAAAGUCGAACAGGCUUUAGUUUUGACGGUACCUCCAGAGGAAGCACCGGCUAACUCCGUGCCAGCAGCCGCGGUAAUACGGAGGGUGCGAGCGUUAUUCGGAAUUACUGGGCGUAAAGCGCGCGUAGGCGGCACGGCAAGUCAGAUGUGAAAGCCCUGGGCUCAACCUGGGAAUUGCAUUUGAAACUGCCGAGCUAGAGUAAGGUAGAGGGUGGCGGAAUUCCCGGUGUAGGGGUGAAAUCCGUAGAUAUCGGGAGGAACACCAGUGGCGAAGGCGGCCACCUGGGCCUUUACUGACGCUGAGGUGCGAAAGCGUGGGUAGCAAACAGGAUUAGAUACCCUGGUAGUCCACGCCGUAAACGAUGGAUACUAGGUGCUGGGUUUUAAAUUCGGUGCCGUAGCUAACGCGUUAAGUUCCCGCCCCUGGGAGUCGUGGCCCGG
rnacentral:rRNA from 1 species